rnacentral:tRNA from 1 species
GCCUGGUUAGCUCAGUUGGUAGAACAUGAGACUCUUAAUCUCAGAGUCCUGGGUUCGUGCCCCACAGUGGGUG